rnacentral:tRNA from 1 species
GCGAGAAUAGCUCAACGGUAGAGUGUAGCUUUGCCAUAGCUGAGGUUGGGGGUUCGAUUCCCCUUUCUCGCU